rnacentral:rRNA from 1 species
AUUUGAAGAGCUUGCUCAGAUAUGACGAUGGACAUUGCAAAGAGUGGCGAACGGGUGAGUAACACGUGGGAAACCUACCUCUUAGCAGGGGAUAACAUUUGGAAACAGAUGCUAAUACCGUAUAACAAUAGCAACCGCGUGGUUGCUACUUAAAAGAUGGUUCUGCUAUCACUAAGAGAUGGUCCCGCGGUGCAUUAGUUAGUUGGUGAGGUAAUGGCUCACCAAGACGAUGAUGCAUAGCCGAGUUGAGAGACUGAUCGGCCACAAUGGGACUGAGACACGGCCCAUACUCCUACGGGAGGCAGCAGUAGGGAAUCUUCCACAAUGGGCGAAAGCCUGAUGGAGCAACGCCGCGUGUGUGAUGAAGGGUUUCGGCUCAUAAAACACUGUUGUAAGAGAAGAAUGACAUUGAGAGUAACUGUUCAAUGUGUGACGGUAUCUUACCAGAAAGGAACGGCUAAAUACGUGCCAGCAGCCGCGGUAAUACGUAUGUUCCAAGCGUUAUCCGGAUUUAUUGGGCGUAAAGCGAGCGCAGACGGUUAUUUAAGUCUGAAGUGAAAGCCCUCAGCUCAACUGAAGAAUUGCUUUGGAACUGGAUGACUUGAGUGCAGUAGAGGAAAGUGGAACUCAUGUGUAGCGGUAAAUGCGUAAUAUAUGGAAGAACCCAGUGGCGAAGGCGGUUUCUGGACUGAACUGACGUGAGGCUCGAAGUGUGGUAGCAACAGGAUAGAUCCCUGGUAUCCACCCGAA